UGCUACUUAUAUCCAAUUUGGCUAGAAGCAAAAGCUGUUUUGAAUCAGAAGCAUUUUCUCUUUGCAGGGCCAAAUGAAGCCUUCCUUUACAGAGAAAGUUUCAGGUUCAUCAGCAAGGUUUUGUAGAUCGCUGGAUUUUUGUUUAUUUAUUUGUUUGUUUAUUUGACUGGA